rnacentral:rRNA from 1 species
UACGAAGGGGGCUAGCGUUGCUCGGAAUCACUGGGCGUAAAGGGUGCGUAGGCGGGUCUUUAAGUCAGGGGUGAAAUCCUGGAGCUCAACUCCAGAACUGCCUUUGAUACUGAGAAGCUUGAGUUCGGGAGAGGUGAGUGGAACUGCGAGUGUAGAGGUGAAAUUCGUAGAUAUUCGCAAGAACACCAGUGGCGAAGGCGGCUCACUGGCCCGAUACUGACGCUGGAGGUGACGAAAGCGGUGGGGAG